rnacentral:rRNA from 1 species
AACGAACGCUGGCGGCAUGCCUAAUACAUGCAAGUCGAACGAGACCUUCGGGUCUAGUGGCGCACGGGUGCGUAACGCGUGGGAACCUGCCUUUAGGUUCGGAAUAACUCAGAGAAAUUUGAGCUAAUACCGGAUGAUGUCUUCGGACCAAAGAUUUAUCGCCUUUAGAUGGGCCCGCGUUGGAUUAGCUAGUUGGUGGGGUAAAGGCCUACCAAGGCGACGAUCCAUAGCUGGUCUGAGAGGAUGAUCAGCCACACUGGGACUGAGACACGGCCCAGACUCCUACGGGAGGCAGCAGUGGGGAAUAUUGGACAAUGGGCGAAAGCCUGAUCCAGCAAUGCCGCGUGAGUGAUGAAGGCCUUAGGGUUGUAAAGCUCUUUUACCCGAGAUGAUAAUGACAGUAUCGGGAGAAUAAGCUCCGGCUAACUCCGUG